GGGGCGUUAGCUCAGUUGGUAGAGCGCUACAAUGGCAUUGUAGAGGUCACCGGUUCGAACCCGGUACGCUCCA
rnacentral:tRNA from 1 species